rnacentral:rRNA from 1 species
GACAGAGGGUGCAAACGUUGCUCGGAAUUACUGGGCGUAAAGCGCGUGUAGGCGGACCACCAAGUCGGACGUGAAAGCCCUGAGCUCAACUCAGGAACUGCAUCCGAAACUGGCGGUCUGGAGUAGUGGAGAGGAAGCAGAAUUCCUGGUGUAGAGGUGAAAUUCGUAGAUAUCAGGAGGAACACCGGUGGCGAAGGCGGCUUCUGGACAAUUGCUGACGCUCAGGCACGAAAGCGUGGGGAGCAAAAGG